GAUGAACGCUGGCGGCGUGCUUAACACAUGCAAGUCGAACGAAGCAUUUGCGACAGAUUUUUUCGGAAUGAAGUUGCUUAUGACUGAGUGGCGGACGGGUGAGUAACGCGUGGGUAACCUGCCUUGUACUGGGGGAUAGCAGCUGGAAACGGCUGGUAAUACCGCAUAAGCGCACAAUGUUGCAUGACAUGGUGUGAAAAACUCCGGUGGUAUAAGAUGGACCCGCGUCUGAUUAGCUAGUUGGUGAGAUAACAGCCCACCAAGGCGACGAUCAGUAGCCGACCUGAGAGGGUGACCGGCCACAUUGGGACUGAGACACGGCCCAGACUCCUACGGGAGGCAGCAGUGGGGAAUAUUGCACAAUGGAGGAAACUCUGAUGCAGCGACGCCGCGUGAGUGAAGAAGUAAUUCGUUAUGUAAAGCUCUAUCAGCAGGGAAGAUAGUGACGGUACCUGAAGAAGAAGCUCCGGCUAAAUACGUG
rnacentral:rRNA from 1 species